AAAGGAAUUGACGGGGGCCCGCACAAGCGGCGGAGCAUGCGGAUUAAUUCGAUGCAACGCGAAGAACCUUACCAAGGCUUGACAUACACCGGAAACACGCAGAGAUGUGUGCCCCGUAAGGUCGGUGUACAGGUGGUGCAUGGUUGUCGUCAGCUCGUGUCGUGAGAUGUUGGGUUAAGUCCCGCAACGAGCGCAACCCUCGUUCCAUGUUGCCAGCACGUGAUGGUGGGGACUCAUGGGAGACUGCCGGGGUCAACUCGGAGGAAGGUGGGGAUGAGGUCAAAUCAUCAUGCCCCUUAUGUCUUGGGCUUCACGCAUGCUACAAUGGCCAGUACAAAGGGCUGCGAUGCCGUAAGGUGGAGCGAAUCCCAAAAAACUGGUCUCAGUUCGGAUUGGGGUCUGCAACUCGACCCCAUGAAGUCGGAGUCGCUAGUAAUCGCAGAUCAGCAACGCUGCGGUGAAUACGUUCCCGGGCCUUGUACACACCGCCCGU
rnacentral:rRNA from 1 species